GGAAAAUUGGUGCCAGCGGCGGCGGGAAUACGAAGGGGGCAAGGGUUACUCGGAAGGACGGGGCGUAAAGCGGGCGUAGGUGGUUGUUUAAGUCUGUCGUGAAAGCCCGGGGCUCAACCUGGGAACUGCGAUGGAAACUGGGCGACUAGAGUGUGGUAGAGGGUAGCGGAAUUCCUGGUGUAGCAGUGAAAUGCGUAGAUAUCAGGAGGAACAUCCAUGGCGAAGGCAGCUACCUGGGCCAACACUGACACUGAGGCACGAAAGCGUGGGGAGCAAACAGGAUUAGAUACCCCAGUAGUC
rnacentral:rRNA from 1 species